rnacentral:sRNA from 1 species
GCCACAGUCCAGAUGCUAUGCACAAAAUUCAACAUUGCAUGGAUUUGACGAUGAUUGUUGGCCAUGAUGAUCAACGUUUUCCUCUCCCUCCCUGCUUACAUCCUCUUUUUUUCUCCUUGCCACUGUAGAAAAAGGCAGUUGUCAAUGUGCUAUCAGACGAAACAACAGGCAUACAACAAAACCUAGAUGAGAAAAACAAUUCAUAUCCGAAUCCAAAGCAGCGUAUAUGUCAGAGAGAUAUAUAGAGUUGAUGAGUAAAAAGGGGAAACAGAAAAUUAAAGAUAAAUGUGAAAAAAGGGGAAAUAAAAAGGUAUUUAGAUAUAUAAAAAUGGACAAGAUUCCAGUCAUAUAAGCAAAGAGGUGAACCGCUGAAUAAUUCCUGCCGGAAGUGGACAGGAAAAGAGGAAAAGGUCCUAGAAAGGGGUUGCAGGAAACGGAAAUACCGGUGUGCAGCGUGCAAUAAAAUUCGAGUAGCUCAUGCAUGUCAUUCUCAGCUCGGGUUAUAUGUAUGACUGGGAAUGGGCCGGUAAUAAUAUACUGCGCUGGCAGUCGAUGUAGGGUAAACGUAUCUAAAACCGCAACCGAAACGGCUGUACCUUCCGAAUCACGCCUGCUUGAAACGGUCAGGUCUUCUGGUUCAUAAUUUUUCUGGUAUCCGUAAUGGUUUUCGAACAGGGCGAGAGUGGUAUAGUUCUUUCUCAAUGAUGACCACCGUUCCUAUUGUGGUAAAGCUGCUCACGAUAAUCCGGUUCGUCGUUGUUGGAGGUCAUCACUGCUGAUGCGCGGUCAUAAGUUCGAUUGUGGUCCUUGCCAUCAUCCUCGCUUUCCGAGGGGCUCCCAUCAUAGGCACUCAUUGAGCGCUUAGCAGUUGAUACGCGGCGGUCCUUGCCACGGCCUUUGAUGCCCUUAUUGCUAUUCCGGUAUAGGUUGGAGAAGUAGCUCCACAACUCCUUGUCCUGUGGAGACAUACGCUCGAUGUCGGCAAUGGAUGCAAAUCGUAGGGUUAGGUUUCGGAGAGUUUGGGCGUGAAAUUUGUUUUGGUGGGAUUUAAGAUUUCCUAAUUGUGUAAAUUGUUUCCCACAGUCGUCUAGCCGACAUGUAAAGGGCUUUGCCUGCUCAUGCGUGAUUUUGUGGGCGCGGACAUUGCCUCGCUGGGCAAAUUUCUUAUGGCAUAUCUCGCACGAGUAAGGCUUCUCGCCAGUGUGUCUUCGUUCAUGAGUCUUAAGAUUCCCCAGUUGAGAAAACCGCUGGCCACACGAGGGUUCCUUGCAUGUAAAAGGCUUGUCACCGGUAUGUGCCCGCAUAUGGAUAUCAAGAUGUGUCUUCUGGAAAAAGCUCUUCUUGCAAUGAGGGAGAGUGCACUCGUAUUUCCUUUUAGGUUUUUGGUUCGCGGGCGGAAUGCGAUCUUGAGGGGGGUUAGGGAAAAUAGACUGGUUUCCACCCAUUUGGUUGGCGUAGGCUGGAUGAAUCCAAUUGGUGACACCGCUAUUGAACUUUUGUUGCAAGGGAGGGAGUUGGUGUUCCGCCUGAGGUGACGGUGGUUGCGGUUUAGCUUGUAUGGCCUUCAUCAAAGUAUCCACUUCUGUCCCAAACACCACCUCGGGCUUGUGCAUAGGUUUCGAGUCCUCAUGCUGUGUUGUAUUUCGCGCUGGUGGGACGCACAUGCGUUGCGGAUUUGGAGGGGGGAGAGUGUCUUCCUUUGGAGGAGAAGGCCUGAUUAAACGCGGGUUGGCGUUUUUGACAUGGCGGACAUCUGAAAGUUGUUGCACUGGGUUCGUCUCUGUGGGCAGUCGAGGAUGGUGGGAAUUAACCUGGUGACUCGGAUUCGAAUUGAAGUAACCCUGAUAGGAGGUAUGAUGCGGAUGGUUAUUUAAAAUGUGGCCGAAGCCACUAAAAGAAGGGGGUUGCAGAGGGGUCGAAUAUGGAAUUGGUGGAUUUGAGAAGUAUGCGAUAUUCUGGUCAUGGUGGUGGUGAUGUUGAUGGGGAGCCAUCAUGCGGCGGUGAGCAACAGCGUUCAUGUCAUGGUUGGUAACAUUGUACGUAACUGGGACCGCCGUCUCCAUCUCGGACGGCAAGGUGAGCUCGAGGUCCGACCCUGUCCACAGGGCACAGUCAACGAAGGAGGGGGAGGGUGGAUUUCCAGUUCCUGAGGCCAGCGGAGAAUAAUGACAUUCGACGCACGUCAGUAUAACUUGAUUUCUUUUUCUAUGAUUUUGUUCUUUUUUCUUUUCUUUUCUUUGCGGGAAUAAACUACUUUGCUCUUUGCUUUUUCGUUUUUGCUUUUGAUGUUUUUCUUUUGCUGUCACAAGACCCCUUGUUCCUAGCAACUGCCUUUGCCGAUGACGAUUGGUGUUGGAAGAACUGUUUUUCUGCAAACAAGAGCUGCUUUGUCAGCUAGAGACGCAAGUGAGUUGCUGUGAAGAGAAGUGUGACUUUGGGUAUGAAAGCUGUUGAUGCAAUCGUGGAGAUCUCAAUUGGAUCCCAGCAUUCGCCAAGAGUCGUUUCGUAGCUAAGGCAGAGGUAGACGAGGUGUAGAAUGGUAACUCUGAUGAUGUCCUGCGAGGUUCUGUCCUGGCUGUUAAAAACAAAAAGCCCGUAUUCGACGGGGUGAACAAUCAAACGGGCGCAGGCAAACACUCAGGAAGCUGAAGGAAAGCAGAGGUAAGAUAUACAACGAUUCUGGAGAUCGGCAGCACGAUAAAGCGGAGUAUGGCGUAUGGCGUUGGGGGGUUAUUUGUUAACAUACACAAGGGGAGUUCAGACCACAGUGUGUUUCCUGCUUAGGGUUCCAAGGGUGCACGAAGGUUAUUGGAGGUGAUAAUACCAAAAUACAGGAAACUGGAUAGUUGGCAGUCGUCAAAUAGGAAAUCGAGAAUAAUAGGCCAAGAGAAGCAAUGCAGGAAAAGGUUGGCGCUCUAAUUGUGGUGACCGGCGAAAAUAAAAAUUAAAUAAAUAAAAAUUAAAGAUGUCCCUUUACCUCCAUCGCAUUAGCAGCUGCAGAAUCAGAUUCGAAGUGUUCAAAUGCGAGGAGCGUGGGAGAAAAUCCAGUAGGCGGUGCGAGCUAGCUCGGAUAUCCCUGACAGGAAAAAGGUGGGAGGGUGGGCUAGUUGCCCGCGUUCCCAAGCCCCCGAGUUCCCAAGCCUCCGAGUUCCCAAGCCCCCGAAAUUGUUCAGGGCUUGAGAUUAGCAGACACUAAAAUAUUCCAACCUGGAGUUCUUGGUUUGUGCCGCCCAUCCUAGAAAGCAGCCUGUCAUCUUUGGGCUUUCGUCGAUUUGAAGAUCCCGAUCCAGAACGGCCGUUGGCUGGCUAUCGACUCAAUGCACAGUAUCAGGAUUUGCAUUUGCCAAGGCGUGGGUAUUAUUAAGUUGAACCAACCCGACCUCGAGGAAAUGAUUGGAGUUGAUUUGUCACUCUAUUUCGCUCGCUCUUGGUUGAUUGCUGUGAUGCUGGAGAGGGUGUAAGAAUAUGGCUUUCCCCGAAGUUUGAAUAGUACACUGUAAGUCGGUGGCAGUGGAUGAAAAGGGCAACUCUGGGCUAGCUUGAUAGAGCGCCUGCAAACGCACCGCAAGUGUUGGAGCAAGGCCCACUCGCUAGUGAUGUUUAUUAUUUCUCGAUUUAUCCAUAGCUGGCUUGAUCACUCUGGCGACUAAUCGUGCCAGAAAAGUCCGAAGCCGGCCGCACGAGGCGGUGCACCAAUCGCGGCAGAUCGCAGAGAUUCCGUCGUGGCCAAGCUUGAAGUGUGACCUUGCCAGGCCGCUGCAAAGAUUCCAUACCCGUCACCAAAAGGAACCACAUACCAACUGGAGCGGGGGCUGUCGCCCAUAGACCAAUAUGAUACGGUGGGCACCCUGAUGCAGGGAUAUGGGUUGGUGCGAGACCGCACACACCGCGUGUCGCAAUAAUCAAACACGUCUACGCUUGCUCUCAGGCAGGUCAAGACAAGAAGCCAAACUGAUCAGCGAUCAGCGACCUAAAGCUUCAGAGAUAUCAGGGAUCGUAAUCGCAGCAAAACUUACAAGGAACAGGUAGGUUGACUUUCGAGCGCCUUUUUUUUGUCGAAGCUUUCAGAGACGGGCUUCAGGGGGAGGCACCGUAUCGGCACUGCACGGCAGCAGGGAGGGUCGCAAGGUGGCGCCCCAACUAGCCUACGACUGGCCAUUGAGGAGUUGGAGUUUUGAGCCCAACAUGAACAAGCCCAUCCGAAUUCGGCUUGGAGUUAGUUGAAACCAAAAUCCCAGUAUGAUACAGAACACAACACGGGAUGUAGCGCUUAACGCUGAAAAAUAACUUGGGAGCUUGGAUCAAAGACUCAUCGCGAGAUGGCCGAGCUGACUGACGAAUUGGUGCGCCCAUUGCCGUUUUGUUGCAUGUCACCCCUCGUGGUGAUUUUCUAUGGUUGGAACACACGCCUGUUCCGCUUUUCGACACAGGAGAUUUUAACACGUUUAUGGAGCUGCGGCAAACUUCCAGGACCUCCAUGGUCAGGGCCAAUUCCAAGAACCACGAUCAUACUUUUCCAGCCCGCACAGAAUGGGUUCGGCCCGAUCCCUACUCUCAGGUGCAAACUGUUCGCUACGAGCCGACUUGUUGUCGUGGUUUGUCGGUUAGGAUGAUAUCCGGUUUUCCUCCUACUGGUAUUUGUGAUGCAAUUCCACCACCCAAUUUUUAUAAUGCUUGGUUUCUAGAGCACAACGGUUGUUUCCCUAACGCAAUUCUGACGUGAAUUACCAUAUUGGCAACGCUACACGGUGGGGGGCAUGUUGGAUAUCAGGAUAUUCCUGGAUCUAACAAGCAGUAACAAGCCCAACGUAAAUCACUUUCUGCCUUCAAGAGACCUGGUGAUCCUCAGGGACUGUUGAGCUAUUCGUGGAGAGACCGCUCUAUCUGACAAAGAAGUAUAGAUCCGUACGUACAGAGUUCAUCGUAGUAUAUGCGUCAUUGAUUUUUCAAUCCGUCCGAUAUACCAGCAGAAAAUCCAUUGGGUGAAAGAAACCCUUCCCUCUCCCUCUCCCUCUCCCUCGGACCGUGAAAAGAAAGGGAAAAAAAGGGAAAAAAAAAAAAAAAAAAGAAGCAAGAAUAUACCAUGACAGGGACCUGUUUCGCACUAUUCGCAGGCCCGCGUGACUGAUCUCCAGGGCUAGUGGUCGGGCGAGCCGAUUCCACCUUGGGUUUUUGGCUGGGGCGGGGAGCGUGCUCGCGGAACCAACAGCACAGCAGAACAACAAAAGCAAUAAAUUAUCCAUCCCCAACGAAGGAAGGGAGAGAAAGGAAAAGGAGGCGGAAAGCGGACCAAGAAUAAUGAACAGGGGAAAUGUACCCGGCGGUUGUUUGGAAACGCAUCUGGGACGGCAGUGAUCGUGGGGAAAAAAGCUAACAAGAUCGAAUCAUCAUUGAUCAAUCAGCGCAUGCAUGUGCACUUUUUAGGAGCAAGAUGACCAACUGGCUGGGCCGCCGUGCCUCUUUUGCUUUUUCUCCUUUUUGCUUUUUUCAGGCCUCCCCACUCUUUUGCUUUUUCUUUCCGUUUCCGCAUGCAUAUCCAUGGAUUUGAAUCUGGGUUUUUUCUUUUUCUUUUUCGUUUUUCUCUUUUUUUCCGUUGCAAAGCUCAGUAGGCUGGGGUGGAGUCCAUGCUAUCUGUAUACGUAUCUGUAUCGUAGGAGGAAUGAAUUAUGACUUUGGAUAAGGAAAACAGGGAAUUACUACUUCCUUUCAAACCUGGAUAUGACAGAUAAUACUGCGUAAGCGGAACAAGAAACGAGAAAUAUUAGGGACCUAACGAAUUCUUCGAGACCCAUUCAGCGACACCUCCAGCCUCCUCUUUUCUUUUUCUCAUUUUUGUGUUUGCUUCUUUUAAGGCUAGCCUCGUUUCUUUUUCCGAUAUUUUCAAUGCAGUGGCGCGCGCCACUUGACCUCGCAAUGCAUACCUCGUACAACUAGUACAGAAUAUGCAGAUGGGAAGCCCCUCCUGAACCUGAUCAUAAUGACGACCCACUACGCCCACGGGAGAAGCAGAGGAGGCAUGACCCACAGCACGGCCGGCAUACAUGAUACCAGCGCCGCGUCCUCUGCACUUUCAAAUCCAUUUUUGCUUAUGGCGGAGCUGCAUGUCAUGAGGUGUUUCAUGUGGAUCAAAUGUGCAGCGUUAGGGGGUUCGUAUGGAGUUGAUUGCCGUUUGUUUGUUGAGGAGAUACGCCGUCUGACCCCGAGCACCCCUCCCAAAGUCUUCGUGAAGCUAACAUUUCCAGAUAAACGCCAGCAGGAAUAGAGCUCCUUCCUGCGCUCCGUUCCGCAACCGAAACAGCGGGCGAAGAGUACGCCAAGAGCUGACCCCAGCCUGCGUGGGGCAAGUUCAAACGGACGCCGCAGAUCGGAGACUUUGGUGCAUUGUCUGAUGGUUUGGAUAAGCUGGGGGAUCUGAACCAGAACUCCCUUCUGCCUAGAGGCCUGGCAUUGAGCCAAUUACAAUCUAAGGGGUUAUCGAUCUUCGAAUCAAAGGCCGGGCUAAAAUGUGCUUGUUUCUUACGCAGCACAUCCGCGUUGUUUUUUC